rnacentral:rRNA from 1 species
CGGGGGGCUGCAGCAGUGAGGAAUAUUGCACAAUGGGGGGAACCCUGAUGCAGCAACGCCGCGUGGAGGAUGACGCAUUUCGGUGUGUAAACUCCUUUUAUAUGUCAAGAAAAUGACGGUAGCAUAUGAAUAAGCGCCGGCUAACUCCGUGCCAGCAGCCGUGGUAAUACGGAGGGCGCAAGCGUUACUCGGAAUCACUGGGCGUAAAGGACGCGUAGGCGGGUUGAAAAGUCAGGUGUGAAAGCCUACAGCUUAACUGUAGAACUGCACUUGAAACUCUCAACCUAGAGUAUGGGAGGGGCAGAUGGAAUUAGUGGUGUAGGGGUAAAAUCCGUAGAUAUCACUAGGAAUACCUAAAGCGAAGGCGAUCUGCUGGAACAUUACUGACGCUAAGGCGUGAAAGCGUGGGGAGCAAACAGGAUUAGAUACCCUCGUAGUC